GUGUGUGUGUGUGUGUGUGCGUAUGUGUGCGUGUGCACAUGUGCCCAUGCAUGCGUGACAUGUGUGGCAGGGGUGUGAGGGAACUUGUUCAGACCAAAGCAAUUAACUAUGCCAGCCUGAACAGGAAGUGGUGUAACACAGAGAUGAGUCAGAGACCAGUGGCUUGAUUAAUGCCUUUAGGAAGAGCUAAUUUAGAGCAAUAUCCCAAGAGGCAUACCUGUUUGUUCAAAUCAAAUAGGAUAGAUAGGAUAUUUUUUAAAAAGGGACAAAGAGAAGAUGUUAUGUUUUGGUAUAAUUUUGAGACACAUAUUAUACCAAAAAAAAGAAGCUAUGUUUUGGUAUAAUUUUGAGACACAUAAUUUUGAGACACAUAUAGGGUGGGGUUUCUUGUCUGCUUUUUACAUUGCUUCUAUAUUUGCACUUCAGGUGAUUUGAUUACAAUUUCAAAUUACAGCAGUUAUCUUCUAACUGUCUAAAAUUGAAUUGAAUUAAUAACUGAGGAAACUCCUUUGAGUUACUCUGAUCUUGUCACAUUGAUUUUAAAUUUUCAUUGAAGCAAUGCACAGAUAAAAUUGCUCUUUUGAACAUAAUAGGACAUUUGUUCACAAUGAUCACUACAUUGAAAUAGCCCCUAAAACUGUAUAGUUAUCAUUAGAAUUAAUAUAACCAAUGAAAUAUAUGCGAUUCCUUACAAUAAUAUAACUAAGUGCUAUUUAAUAAGUAAAAAAUACUUUAUAUGUAAAUAUAGUUACAAAUUAUAUACAGACAUAACAGUGUCUUUAAGCAAUCAUGGGCUCAGUGGUACUGACAAAGAUACAACAAAUAUUAUGGAUUCACUGUGGUGUAAGACAGUGUCAUCAUUACUUUCAGCAUUAGUGUACUUAUCACAAUACUUCUUCUCUUGCAGCAUAAAAUGUUUCCUGCAAGGCACAGCUGGCCUAUGAAGAAUGGACGAAGCUCUGCAUUUCACCAAAGGCACACCCUCAUCAAGUGUGACACCCCAAAUAAUGCACACUGAGGGAAAUGACUGAAGGGCAGGUGACUGUCUGGUGAGAAGGCCACAAGCUGAUUUAUGGGAGGCUUUUAGCUGCUGUGAUUUCAUGGUAAUGCCGGGGAAGUGACGGGCAGACCUCGGCAGCAGUGAAGCCAGUCACACUGCAGUGGGGGCACCAGUGGGGAAUGGAUUAAGAGGGCAAGAUGUAAGCAAAAAAUCUCCUGCAAGGAGCUUUCCUCUGCAGAAUGGACGAGACUCUGUAUUUCACCAAAGGCACACCCUCAUCAAGUGUGACACCCCAAAUAAUGCACACUGAGGGAGAUGACUGAAGGGCAGGUUACUGUCUGGUGAGAAGGCCACAAGCUGAUUUAUGGGAGGCUUUUAGCUGCUGUGAUUUCAUGGUAAUUCCGGGGAAGUGACGGGCAGACCUCGGCAGCAGUGAAGCCAGUCACACUGCAGUGGGGGCACCAGUGGGGAAUGGAUUAAGAGGGCAAGAUGUAAG